AUUGAUUAUGCAUUGUUAUAAUGAUUAUGCAUGUACUGUGAUGUAUGCAACAUAAGUAUCUUUUGAACUUUAAAGUCCUAAGAGGGUGAAAGAAGAAACUCCGUUGGGGGAUGAGGAUCUUGGAAAAAAGGAGAAAAGGCGACUGCCCCUAGCAACGAUUGGGGAGAAAAAUAAGGCAAUUCCUAGAAACAAAUGCAAUACCUAACUCUGAU
rnacentral:lncRNA from 1 species